rnacentral:rRNA from 1 species
GCGAACGCUGGCGGCAGGCUUAACACAUGCAGGUCGAGCGGGCAUCCUUGUGGUGUCAGCGGCAGACGGGUGAGUAACGCGUGGGAACGUGCCCUUCGGUUCGGAAUAACUCAGGGAAACUUGAGCUAAUACCGGAUACGUGCGAGAGCAGAAAGGUUUAUCUGCCGAAGGAUCGGCCCGCGUCUGAUUAGCUAGUUGGUGAGGUUACGGCUCACCAAGGCGACGAUCAGUAGCUGGUCUGAGAGGAUGAUCAGCCACACUGGGACUGAGACACGGCCCAGACUCCUACGGGAGGCAGCAGUGGGGAAUAUUGGACAAUGGGGGCAACCCUGAUCCAGCCAUGCCGCGUGAGUGAUGACGGCCUUAGGGUUGUAAAGCUCUUUUCUCCGGGACGAUAAUGACGGUACCGGAGGAAUAAGCCCCGGCUAACUUCGUG